CGGACGGGUGAGUAAUGUCUGGGAAACUGCCUGAUGGAGGGGGAUAACUACUGGAAACGGUAGCUAAUACCGCAUAGCGUCGCAAGACCAAAGAGGGGGACCUUAGGGCCUCUUGCCAUCGGAUGUGCCCAGAUGGGAUUAGCUAGUAGGUGGGGCAACGGCUCACCUAGGCGACGAUCCCUAGCUGGUCUGAGAGGAUGACCAGCCACACUGGAACUGAGACACGGUCCAG
rnacentral:rRNA from 1 species